rnacentral:rRNA from 1 species
UACGUAGGGACCGAGCGUUGUCCGGAUUCAUUGGGCGUAAAGAGCUCGUAGGCGGCUGCUCAAGUCGAAUGUGAAAACUCGAGGCUCAACCUCGAGCCUGCAUUCGAUACUGGGCGGCUAGAGUCUGGUAGGGGGAUCUGGAAUUCCUGGUGUAGCGGUGGAAUGCGCAGAUAUCAGGAAGAACACCCGUGGCGAAAGCGGCUCUCUGGAACGGUACUGACGCUGAGACGCGAAAGCGUGGGGAGCGAACAGG